ACCUGGUUGGCUCAGUUGGUUGAGCAUCUGACUUCGGCUCAGGUCGUGAUCUCAUGGAUUUUGAGUUCAAGACCCACAUCAGGCU
rnacentral:tRNA from 1 species